rnacentral:rRNA from 1 species
GAUUAACGCUGGCGGCGUGCCUAACACAUGCAAGUCGAGCGGGUGCCAGUCUGUAGCAAUACAGAUGAAGCGCUAGCGGCAGACGGGUGAGUAACACGUAGUCAACCUACCUUUCCGUCCGGGAUAACUAGCCGAAAGGUUAGCUAAUACCUGAUGCGAUCGUCGAACGGCAUCGUUUGACGAUGAAAGCAGUAAUGCGCGGAUUGAGGGGGCUGCGGCCCAUUAGCUAGUUGGUGAGGUAACGGCCCACCAAGGCUCCGAUGGGUAGCU